UCAGGCCUAACACAUGCAAGUCGAACGGCAGCACGGGUGCUUGCACCUGGUGGCGAGUGGCGAACGGGUGAGUAACAUAUCGGAACGUAUCCAAUAAUGGGGGAUAACUAAUCGAAAGGUUGGCUAAUACCGCAUACGCCCUACGGGGGAAAGCAGGGGAUCUUCGGACCUUGCGUUAAUGGAGCGGCCGAUAUCUGAUUAGCUAGUUGGUGGGGUAAAGGCCUACCAAGGCGACGAUCAGUAGCUGGUCUGAGAGGACGACCAGCCACACUGGAACUGAGACACGGUCCAGACUCCUACGGGAGGCAGCAGUGGGGAAUUUUGGACAAUGGGCGCAAGCCUGAUCCAGCCAUUCCGCGUGAGUGAAGAAGGCCUUCGGGUUGUAAAGCUCUUUCGCAAGGGAAGAAAACUUACCUUCUAAUAAAGGGUGAGGUGAC
rnacentral:rRNA from 1 species